GACGAACGCUGGCGGCGUGCCUAACACAUGCAAGUCGAGCGAUGCGAUUCUUCGGAAUCAAUUAGCGGCGGACGGGUGAGUAACACGUGGGUAACCUGCCUCAAAGAGGGGAAUAGCCUCCCGAAAGGGAGAUUAAUACCGCAUAAUAUGUUUUGAUCGCAUGAUCUUAACAUCAAAGGAACUUCUUCGGAAAUUCCACUUUGAGAUGGACCCGCGGCGCAUUAGCUAGUUGGUGAGGUAAAGGCCCACCAAGGCAACGAUGCGUAGCCGACCUGAGAGGGUGAUCGGCCACAUUGGAACUGAGACACGGUCCAGACUCCUACGGGAGGCAGCAGUGGGGAAUAUUGCGCAAUGGGGGAAACCCUGACGCAGCAACGCCGCGUGAAUGAUGAAGGCCUUCGGGUUGUAAAGUUCUGUCUUCUGGGACGAUAAUGACGGUACCAGAG
rnacentral:rRNA from 1 species